CCUACGGGAGGCAGCAGUGAGGAAUAUUGGUCAAUGGCCGAGAGGCUGAACCAGCCAAGUCGCGUGAGGGAUGACUGCCCUACGGGUUGUAAACCUCUUUUGUCGGGGAGCAAAGAGAGUCACGUGUGGCUCAUUGAGAGUACCCGAAGAGCAAACAUCGGCUAACUCCGGGCCAGCAGCCGCGGUAAUACGGAGGAUGCGAGCGUUAUCCGGAUUGAUUGGGUUUAAAGGGUGCGCAGGCGGAGUUGCAAGUCAGUGGUCAAAUUGCGGCGCUCAAGCCCGUACUGCCGUUGAAACUGCAUCCAUUGAAUGCGCGAGAAGUAUGCGGAAUGCGUGGUGUAGCGGUGAAAUGCAUAG
rnacentral:rRNA from 1 species